rnacentral:rRNA from 1 species
CCUACGGGUGGCAGCAGUGAGGAAUAUUGGUCAAUGGGCUUACGCCUGAACCAGCCAAGUCGCGUGAGGGAAGACUGCCCUAUGGGUUGUAAACCUCUUUUGUCAGGGAGCAAUUGGCGCUACGUGUAUCGUUCUCGAUAGUCCCUGAAGAAAAAGCAUCGGCUAACUCCUUGCCAGCAGCCGCGGUAAUACGGAGGAUGCGAGCGUUCUCCGGAUUUAUUGGGUUUAAAGGGUGCGUAGGCGGCAUGCCAAGUCAGCGGUAAAAGCGCGGGGCUCAACCUCGCUCCGCCGUUGAAACUGGCGGUCUUGAGUGGGCGAGAAGUAUGCGGAAUGCGUGGUGUAGCGGUGAAAUGCAUAGAUAGCACGCAGAACUCCGAUUGCGAAGGCAGCAUACCGGCGCCCAACUGACGCUGAAGCACGAAAGCGUGGGUAUCGAACAGGAUUAGAUACCCGUGUAGUC